GACUUCAGUUCUGAUGCCAAAUACACUACGGAUAUCUUUGACCACAUGGAUGUAGAUGGAGGCAAACAAGGUGGAUCCUCCAAGACUGGAUCUAAGGGACAGAAGGGUUACUGAGGUACAACUGGCAUGACUUCCUGUUGGCAAAAUAAAUUUGUAUGAAAACCA